rnacentral:rRNA from 1 species
GACGAACGCUGGCGGCGUGCCUAACACAUGCAAGUCGAGCGGAGUCGAUCGACGGAAGCCUUCGGGCGGAAGAUGGUUGACUUAGCGGCGGAUGGGUGAGUAACGCGUGGGCAACCUGCCUCGAAGACCGGGAUAACAGCCCGAAAGGGCUGCUAAUACCGGAUGUGGUCAAGGAUCCGCAUGGAUUUUUGAUUAAAGGGGAAACCCGUUUCGAGAUGGGCCCGCGUCCUAUCAGCUAGUUGGUGAGGUAAAAGCUCACCAAGGCGACGACGGGUAGCCGGCCUGAGAGGGUGACCGGCCACACUGGAACUGAGACACGGUCCAGACUCCUACGGGGGGCAGCAGUGGGGAAUCUUCCACAAUGGGCGAAAGCCUGAUGGAGCGACGCCGCGUGAGCGAAGAAGGCCUUCGGUUGUAAGCUCUGUCUGGAGGGACGGAAGGAAGUAGACGGUACCGUCCGGACGGAAGCCGACGGCGUAACUAACGUG